CGGGAUAACCCGGAGAAAUCCGGCCUAAUACCGCAUGUGGCCGAGGGGAGGCAUCUUCUUUCGGCCAAAGGAGGCGACUCCGGAGACGGAUGGGCAUGCGUGACAUUAGCUUGUUGGCGGGGUAACGGCCCACCAAGGCGACGAUGUCUAGGGGUUCUGAGAGGAAGGUCCCCCACACUGGUACUGAGACACGGACCAGACUCCUACGGGAGGCAGCAGUGAGGAAUAUUGGUCAAUGGGCGAGAGCCUGAACCAGCCAAGUCGCGUGAAGGAUGACGGCCCUACGGGUUGUAAACUUCUUUUGUCAGGGAGCAAUUGGGUCCACGCGUGGGCUUAGCGAGAGUACCUGAAGAAAAAGCAUCGGCUAACUCCGUGCCAGCAGCCGCGGUAAUACGGAGGAUGCGAGCGUUAUCCGGAUUUAUUGGGUUUAAAGGGUGCGUAGGCGGAAUAUCAAGUCAGCGGUAAAAAUUCGGGGCUCAACCCCGUCGUGCCGUUGAAACUGAUGUUCUUGAGUGGGCGAGAAGUAUGCGGAAUGCGUGGUGUAGCGGUGAAAUGCAUAGAUAUCACGCAGAACUCCGAUUGCGAAGGCAGCAUACCGGCGCCCAACUGACGCUGAAGCACGAAAGCGUGGGUAUCGAACAGGAUUAGAUACCCUGGUAGUCCACGCAGUAAACG
rnacentral:rRNA from 1 species